UACGUAGGGUGCAAGCGUUAAUCGGAAUUACUGGGCGUAAAGCGUGCGCAGGCGGCUUUGCAAGACAGAUGUGAAAUCCCCGGGCUUAACCUGGGAACUGCAUUUGUGACUGCAUGGCUAGAGUGCGGCAAAGGGGGAUGGAAUUCCGCGUGUAGCAGUGAAAUGCGUAGAUAUGCGGAGGAACACCGAUGGCGAAGGCAAUCCCCUGGGCCUGCACUGACGCUCAUGCACGAAAGCGUGGGGAGCAAACAGG
rnacentral:rRNA from 1 species